rnacentral:tRNA from 1 species
CAGUAGCUGAGUGGAUAAAGUAAUGGCGUAUGAAGCGAAAAGUACUGGGUUCGAGUCCCAGAGUGAA